GUUAUCCUUCGGGGUCGGGUGAAAGUCCCAACCGGCGGUGAUGAGAUUAUGAAUCUCUAAGCCCGUGACCCGUUUUUGUGUUUUACAUUAGCGGUGGAUCUAGUUAAAAUCUAGAGCCGACAGUAUAGUCUGGAUGGGAGAAGGAUCAG
rnacentral:ncRNA from 2 species